UCUUAAACUGUGAGUUAUACAUUUUGUAAAUGGGAACUGAGGAAUUUUGAACAAAUCUGACUGUAUAAAUUUUAUAAAUAGUUCAAGUUGACAGCAUAUCUCCGGAGUAAGUUAUUGUGUAAACUGUGCUAUGCCAUCUGCAUUGUUUGUCCACCUGACAAGUGUGUAAAUGGUAGAGUGCUAGACCUCAUGGGUUCUACAAUGACAUUGGCAAAUAGAGAGUGUCUGCUUGGGUGAAACAGAGUGAUUUGGUUAUAUUGAUAAUUAAGUGUUUUGUCMACUAGCACMAAAUACGGCUAUAUAACCUAUCUUAAGUAGCCAACCAAGUGAACCAACAAAGAUGGUUGUUUAAUACAGGUGUAUGMGAUAUCMMAUGASUAAAUGMAAUUGGGAYUCAAUAUUGGAUUUMAUAUUCUCUUUACUCCAAUAUGUCAUU
rnacentral:sRNA from 1 species